UACGUAGGGUGCGAGCGUUAAUCGGAAUUACUGGGCGUAAAGCGUGCGCAGGCGGCGCGUUAAGACAGGUGUGAAAGCCCCGAGCUUAACUUGGGAAUUGCGCUUGUGACUGGCGUGCUGGAGUGUGGCAGAGGGAGGUGGAAUUCCACGUGUAGCAGUGAAAUGCAUUGAGAUCGGAAAGAACACCAACGGCGAAAGCACUCUGCUGGGCCGACACUGACACUGAGAGACGAAAGCUAGGGGAGCAAAUGGG
rnacentral:rRNA from 1 species